rnacentral:rRNA from 1 species
AACGAACGCUGGCGGCAUGCCUAACACAUGCAAGUCGAACGAGACCUUCGGGUCUAGUGGCGCACGGGUGCGUAACGCGUGGGAACCUGCCCUUAGGUUUGGAAUAACUUCCCGAAAGGGGUGCUAAUACCGGAUAAUGUCUUCCGACCAAAGAUUUAUCGCCUUUGGAUGGGCCUGCGUUGGAUUAGCUAGUUGGUAGGGUAAAAGCCUACCAAGGCGACGAUCCAUAGCUGGUUUGAGAGGAUGAUCAGCCACACUGGGACUGAGACACGGCCCAGACUCCUACGGGAGGCAGCAGUGGGGAAUAUUGGACAAUGGGCGAAAGCCUGAUCCAGCAAUGCCGCGUGAGUGAUGAAGGCCUUAGGGUUGUAAAGCUCUUUUACCCGGGAUGAUAAUGACAGUACCGGGAGAAUAAGCUCCGGCUAACUCCGUG